rnacentral:rRNA from 1 species
UCCUACGGGAGGCAGCAGUAAGGAAUAUUGGUCAAUGGAGGCAACUCUGAACCAGCCAUGCCGCGUGCAGGAAGACGGCCCUAUGGGUUGUAAACUGCUUUUGUACCAGAGAAAACCCGAGUACGUGUACUCG